UUGUCCGGAAUUACUGGGCGUAAAGGGCGUGUAGACGGCACUGCAAGUCAGAUGUGAAAUACCACGGCUCAACUCAGGAGGCGCAUCGGAAACUAUAAUUCUUGAGUUCAGGAGAGGAAAGCGGAAUUCCUAGUGUAGCGGUGAAAUGCGUAGAUAUCUAGGAAGAACACCAGAGGCGAAGGCGGCUCUCUGGACAUAGACUGACGUUGAGGCGCGAAAGCGUGGGGAGCGAACCAGGAUUAGAUACCCUGGUAGUUCCACCGCGGUAAAGAAUGGAUACUAGGUGUUAGGAGGUAUGAACCCCGUCUGCGCAGGAGACAGACACAAUAAGUAUCCCACGGUGAGGAGGACUGGCAACGAGAGGGCUAGAACUCAGGAGGAAACGAGGGGGGCCAGAACCAGCAGAGGAGUAGGUGGUAUUAUUCGAAACGAGAGGAACAACACUCAGCAGGGCACAACAUCUCGUCCGGAUAACAUAGAGACUAGGUUUCACGUCUUGGCGGCAGCGUAAGGACAGCAGCUGGUGUAUCGGUCGUCCAUGCAGCUCGCGUCGUAGAGAUUGGUGGGUAAAACUCCCGCGACGAGCACAACCCCUAUUGUUAGUCCUCAUCACUAAGUUGACUACUCCGACGAGACCGCCGACGACCAGUCGGAGGAAGGUGGGGACGA
rnacentral:rRNA from 1 species